rnacentral:rRNA from 1 species
CUAGUAAUCGCGAAUCAGAAUGUCGCGGUGAAUACGUUCCCGGGUCUUGUACACACCGCCCGUCACACCAUGGGAGUCGGAAAUGCCCGAAGUCAGUGACCCAACCGCAAGGAGGGAGCUGCCGAAGGUGGAGCCGGUAACUGGGGUGAAGUCGUAACAAGGUAGC